CUGACCGCACGAAAAUCACCGGCAACAAAACAGCAGUAGAACAUUUCACAACCAACCACAACUGAACCCUCCCGUGUUGAACAACCUUGGCAUAAUGCUAUGCAAGAAACACGGGAAAAGCUCAGUUAAUAGAUGUGAACACGGCAAUAGAAAUUGAGUAAAGCAAGUUCAGCAAAAGCACUUGACACACGGCAAUUGUAAAAUAGCGUUUAUUCAAACUUGUUCUGAUAGAGAGGGAAGCCAUCGAACGAUGGAACCUCGUACAAGAUUUGAGGCAACGGUAACAAGCAUACACGCAGAGAGGUGGCUAGGCGUAGGCCUGCUUUUACACAGCCAGAUAUACUCCACCCCGGAUAUAUAGCUGCUUGGCAUGCAGGGCUUGCUAUGGUCCUGGCAGUUGCUCAGAAACCAUGAAUCUUGAUAUGUUCCUUCUUCACAAUGCCAGCCUGGAGGACAAAUUACAAGAAGAAUUAGUCAUCUUUCAUGCGUGAUGCAUCUCAUUAUCACCAUAGGUACGAGGCAAGCAAAAUGAUCUCUACCUGGACAAGGAAAUUUGAGACGUUCUUCCUCUGAUCACCCUGGAGUUGAAUGACCUAAACCAGGAAAACAUUUGUUCAGAUAAGUAGCUUAUAGACAUACAAGGUUAAACAACACAUAGUUAUGAUCGAACAAGUUUGGCAAAAACUAUCAUACCUGUCCAAGCUCUGGGUCCUGGACCACUGUACCAUUGCAGCAAAACUCUUUCUUGAGAUCUUUUAGGAUCUUGCUGUAGCUGAAUUCUUUCUUCAAUCCCUGGACAGUAGUCAGACUCUUGCGACCAUUACGCUGCUGGAUGCGUACAUGAACGUAGUCCUUUGAUCCUGCUGCCGCACCAGAGUCCCCAGCAUUGGCCUCAGCAAAGGGAUCUGUACGUGUAACACAAAUUAGAAUUAAGUUACUUGUAUUCCAGGUUUUGCAACCCAAAGACAACUGAAACAAAAACUAUUAACUAGCAUACCGAAGGCAGUUGGGAUCUGAACGUCGAGAUCAGACAUGAAAACUUGACUUGUGGGAGUGGCAAGCUACACCAAGAGCUGUACAAAGAAAUGAAAUAAAUUAUUAAAUAAUGCAGUGUGGACGAGCAUAUUGCAAAUUGAAACAAAUAUAUUUUCCAUGAUCAAGCAUUAUUAAAAGGUCAGGACAAAUUUCUGCUCGAGUCAGAUAGGGGUAGACAACAAGAAACACUACAGAGUAGAGAACAAUACUGACUACAUAUUGGAAUCUAGGAGCAAUCUGUACAGUUCUAAUAAAAUCACAACUCUAUGACAUAGCUUUUCCUAGAAGCAAGAAAAAAAAGGAUAGAAAAGGGGUAUGCUGAAGAAUUCAGUCAUAACCCCCACCAAUGUGACAUAUUCAGAUCCCAAUUGCUUUUUUAUCUUGUUCGUGCAGCUGUCUAUGACAUGUGCAAUUGUAAUUUACACUUCAUUAUUCCUCUUGGCAACUAUUUGUUCCUAGAAUCCAGUCAAUUUUUCUAAUCAAGUGUUCCUACGGUUAAAUGAAGGCAUCUCAAUUGUAGCAAGAUAUCAAGCUAUAAUCAAACUAACCAGCCAAAACAUAAAUUGAGCCAUGUAAGCACCAUGUUCAGCCCUUUCAGUUCCAUUUAUAUUCUCUAACAAGCAAACAAACCUAAUAAGCAACUCUUUGGUAAUCAAGAGGCAUGAGAUGACAUAGUUUCAUCUCAUGUAAUCUAAAUUAUUUCCAUCUAGCUUAAAUUCUCUGUACACACAUGCUAAAAUUACCCAACACAACAUCCUCAAACCAGAGCAAGCUGACUGACCGACUCCAUGGCUAACAACUGCACCCAAUCUGGUUAUAACUACUUGACAGCAAGAGAACAACCAGCAUACUAAUAUCUAAACAUGAUUCAUGAAAAAAUUAUCGAACAAAAAUUCAAUGAUUGCAAACUCCCCCUAAGAAGGGGAAAUCAGGGUAGUGGACAUUUGUUCAUUAACAGGGCUGAUUAUAACAAAGGGCGGUAGAACCUUCAUAAAAAAGCAAGAUCAAUACAAUUUAACACAAAACCUAGCACAUAUGGAAUAAAAAAAUUAUCACCUAGCAUCAUCUCAUCUCACAACUAAAAGAACCGAGAUUCUACCUCGAAGAGUAAGAGUGAACUCCAAGUCUCCACCCUAAAUCCCAAACGGUUUCUACGAAAACAACCAAGAUCUUCCUACUAAACGAACGCCAAACAGCUAAACCGGGAAGAAAUUACAAGGGCACAAACAACAAUCAACGGAUUUCUUCAAAAAAGGGGAAAGGGGAAGGGGUGCGGUGCGUACCCUCGGGAGGUGGUCGAAGAGGAAGAGAUCAACCAAGAACUCGCUCGGGAAGAUGUAGAUCCUGAACAAGCGCCGGAAGUCCUUGGUGCUCCUCCCUCUUCUUUGGCGUCGAGGCCUCCUAUAUAUGGAGGGAGAAAAGGAGGGGAAUUUAUAGACGGGAGGAGGAGGACGCUCCGCGGUUUCUUGCCUCCCUUUUCCUCCUCGCUUCUCUCCAACCUUUUCUUUUUUUUUUCCCCACAAAGACUGCUGUUUAAUGGUU
rnacentral:lncRNA from 1 species